rnacentral:rRNA from 1 species
UAAUACGGAGGGUGCAAGCGUUAAUCGGAAUUACUGGGCGUAAAGCGUGCGCAGGCGGUUUGUUAAGUCAGAUGUGAAAGCCCCGGGCUCAACCUGGGAACUGCAUUUGAUACUGGCAAACUAGAGUGUGGUAGAGGGAAGUGGAAUUCCUCAUGUAGCGGUGAAAUGCGUAGAUAUGAGGAGGAACACCAGUGGCGAAGGCGACUUCCUGGACCAACACUGACGCUCAUGUACGAAAGCGUGGGUAGCAAACAGGAUUAGAUACCCUGGUAGUCCACGCCGUAAACGAUGUCUACUAGCCGUUGGGGGGCUUGUCCCUUUAGUGGCGCAGCUAACGCGAUAAGUAGACCGCCUGGGGAGUACGGUCGCAAGAUUA